ACUACAACAGUUCUACACAUUUCCAAAAUGAAUCAUCGUGUUUUAAUUGAUGAAUGAAUUGAAGGAAAACAUGCCAAUUUAUUAGCACUGACACGUUUUUGAUCAAUAGUCAGUCAGAGCAUUUCCAUAGAGAACCACUUUGCAUCAGCAGCACCAUGCUCCAGUGCUCUGGGAGACUUUAUAGUCCUGAGAGUUGAACACUGGAUGACUGACAGCUGUCCUUCAUCACAACAGAAGACACAGAAAUCCUCCUCAUCAAAAACAUGACGUUGAUCUCCAUCCUCAUCUGGACUCUCCUCUGCUGCUGCUUCACAGAGUCCAGAGGACAGGUCACAGUGACUCAGCCUGGAGCAGUGAGCUCUGCUCUGGGACGCUCCGUCUCCAUCAGCUGUAGGGUCAGCCCAAAAGUUUAUGUAGGAUCUCCCAGUGGUAAACACUAUUUGCACUGGUACCAAAAGAGAGACGGUGAAGCUCCUAAACUGCUCAUUUCCAGGGCUGAUGAACGAGCAUCAGGGGCUCCAGAUCGUUUUUCAGGCAGUGGAUCAAACUCUGACUUCACUCUGACCAUCAGUGGAGUCCAGGCUGAAGAUGCAGCAGUUUACUACUGUCAGAGUUACCAUGAAAUCAACAGUCAGGAUGUGUUCACACAGUGAAAAAGCGUCGUACAAAAACC